CCUACGGGGUGCUGCAGUGGGGAAUAUUGGACAAUGGGCGAAAGCCUGAUCCGGCCAUGCCGCGUGUGUGAAGAAGGCCUUCGGGUUGUAAAGCACUUUCAGUGGGGAAGAAAGCCUUGGGGCUAAUACCCUCGAGGAAGGACAUCACCCACAGAAGAAGCACCGGCUAACUCCGUGCCAGCAGCCGCGGUAAUACGGAGGGUGCGAGCGUUAAUCGGAAUUACUGGGCGUAAAGCGCGCGUAGGCGGUCUGAUAAGCCGGUUGUGAAAGCCCCGGGCUCAACCUGGGAACGGCAUCCGGAACUGUCAGGCUAGAGUGCAGGAGAGGAAGGUAGAAUUCCCGGUGUAGCGGUGAAAUGCGUAGAGAUCGGGAGGAAUACCAGUGGCGAAGGCGGCCUUCUGGACUGACACUGACGCUGAGGUGCGAAAGCGUGGGUAGCAAACAGGAUUAGAUACCCGGGUAGUC
rnacentral:rRNA from 1 species